CCUACGGGAGGCAGCAGUGAGGAAUAUUGGUCAAUGGGCGGGAGCCUGAACCAGCCAAGUCGCGUGAAGGAAGAAGGCUUUCGGGUUGUAAACUUCUUUUCUCAGGGACGAAGAAAGUGACGGUACCUGAGGAAUAAGCCACGGCUAACUACGUGCCAGCAGCCGCGGUAAUACGUAGGUGGCAAGCGUUAUCCGGAUUUAUUGGGUGUAAAGGGCGUGUAGGCGGGAGCGCAAGUCAGAUGUGAAAACUCAGGGCUCAACCCUGAGCCUGCAUUUGAAACUGUGUUUCUUGAGUGCUGGAGAGGCAAUCGGAAUUCCGUGUGUAGCGGUGAAAUGCGUAGAUAUACGGAGGAACACCAGUGGCGAAGGCGGAUUGCUGGACAUUAACUGACGCUGAGGCACGAAGGCCAGGGGAGCGAAAGGGAUUAGAUACCCCAGUAGUC
rnacentral:rRNA from 1 species